rnacentral:rRNA from 1 species
UACGUAGGGUGCGAGCGUUAAUCGGAAUUACUGGGCGUAAAGCGUGCGCAGGCGGCUUUGCAAGACAGAUGUGAAGUCCCCGGGCUCAACCUGGGAACUGCAUUUGUGACUGCAAGGCUAGAGUACGGCAGAGGGGGAUGGAAUUCCGCGUGUAGCAGUGAAAUGCGUAGAUAUGCGGAGGAACACCAAUGGCGAAGGCAAUCCCCUGGGCCUGUACUGACGCUCAUGCACGAAAGCGUGGGGAGCAAACAGG